CUCGUGCGAGGCGGAUGCGAAGCGCGCGCAAUACUCUGCCUAGUGCGAUAAACAAAAGUAGACAGGAGAACAAUUUGAUUAAACAACAACAAAAUGCUAGCCGUAUAAAUGAAUGUGCAGAGCCCAACAAAAGUCAAAAAUAAUACAACAAAAUAUAUAUAAACAACAAAUCACAGACAGAAUUUUGUAUUUGUAGACGCCGCCUUAGCGGCAGUGCAGCAGACGCCAGCGUCAGCGUCAGCGUCGACGGCGAUUUUAACGUAUUUCUCAAACUCAACAAA